rnacentral:rRNA from 1 species
AGUGAACGCUGGCGGUAGGCCUAACACACGCAAGUCGAACGGCAGCACAGUAAGAGCUUGCUCUUACGGGUGGCGAGUGGCGGACGGGUGAGGAAUACAUCGGAAUCUACUUUUUCGUGGGGAAUAACGUAGGGAAACUUACGCUAAUACCGCAUACGACCUACGGGUGAAAGCAGGGGAUCUUCGGACCUUGCGCGAUUGAAUGAGCCGAUGUCGGAUUAGCUAGUUGGCGGGGUAAAGGCCCACCAAGGCGACGAUCCGUAGCUGGUCUGAGAGGAUGAUCAGCCACACUGGAACUGAGACACGGUCCAGACUCCUACGGGAGGCAGCAGUGGGGAAUAUUGGACAAUGGGCGCAAGCCUGAUCCAGCCAUACCGCGUGGGUGAAGAAGGCCUUCGGGUUGUAAAGCCCUUUUGUUGGGAAAGAAAAGCAGCAGGUUAAUACCCCGCUGUUCUGACGGUACCCAAAGAAUAAGCACCGGCUAACUUCGUG